UUGAACGCUGGCGGCAGGCCUAACACAUGCAAGUCGAACGGUAACAGGAAGCAGCUUGCUGUUUCGCUGACGAGUGGCGGACGGGUGAGUAAUGUCUGGGAAACUGCCUGAUGGAGGGGGAUAACUACUGGAAACGGUAGCUAAUACCGCAUAACGUCGCAAGACCAAAGAGGGGGACCUUCGGGCCUCUUGCCAUCGGAUGUGCCCAGAUGGGAUUAGCUAGUAGGUGGGGUAACGGCUCACCUAGGCGACGAUCCCUAGCUGGUCUGAGAGGAUGACCAGCCACACUGGAACUGAGACACGGUCCAGACUCCUACGGGAGGCAGCAGUGGGGAAUAUUGCACAAUGGGCGCAAGCCUGAUGCAGCCAUGCCGCGUGUAUGAAGAAGGCCUUCGGGUUGUAAAGUACUUUCAGCGGGGAGGAAGGGAGUAAAGUUAAUACCUUUGCUCAUUGACGUUACCCGCAGAAGAAGCACCGGCUAACUCCGUGCCAGCAGCCGCGGUAAUACGGAGGGUGCAAGCGUUAAUCGGAAUUACUGGGCGUAAAGCGCACGCAGGCGGUUUGUUAAGUCAGAUGUGAAAUCCCCGGGCUCAACCUGGGAACUGCAUCUGAUACUGGCAAGCUUGAGUCUCGUAGAGGGGGGUAGAAUUCCAGGUGUAGCGGUGAAAUGCGUAGAGAUCUGGAGGAAUACCGGUGGCGAAGGCGGCCCCCUGGACGAAGACUGACGCUCAGGUGCGAAAGCGUGGGGAGCAAACAGGAUUAGAUACCCUGGUAGUCCACGCCGUAAACGAUGUCGACUUGGAGGUUGUGCCCUUGAGGCGUGGCUUCCGGAGCUAACGCGUUAAGUCGACCGCCUGGGGAGUACGGCCGCAAGGUUAAAACUCAAAUGAAUUGACGGGGGCCCGCACAAGCGGUGGAGCAUGUGGUUUAAUUCGAUGCAACGCGAAGAACCUUACCUGGUCUUGACAUCCACGGAAGUUUUCAGAGAUGAGAAUGUGCCUUCGGGAACCGUGAGACAGGUGCUGCAUGGCUGUCGUCAGCUCGUGUUGUGAAAUGUUGGGAUAAGUCCCGCAACGAGCGCAACCCUUAUCCUUUGUUGCCAGCGGUCCGGCCGGGAACUCAAAGGAGACUGCCAGUGAUAAACUGGAGGAAGGUGAGGAUGACGUCAAGUCAUCAUGGCCCUUACGACCAGGGCUACACACGUGCUACAAUGGCGCAUACAAAGAGAAGCGACCUCGCGAGAGCAAGCGGACCUCAUAAAGUGCGUCGUAGUCCGGAUUGGAGUCUGCAACUCGACUCCAUGAAGUCGGAAUCGCUAGUAAUCGUGGAUCAGAAUGCCACGGUGAAUACGUUCCCGGGCCUUGUACACACCGCCCGUCACACCAUGGGAGUGGGUUGCAAAAGAAGUAGGUAGCUUAACCUUCGGGAGGGCGCUUACCACUUUGUGAUUCAUGACUGGGGUG
rnacentral:rRNA from 1 species